CGAGAGCGUAUAUUAAAGUUGUUGCAGUUAAACCGCUCGUAGUUGGGUGUCUGCCCAGGGCGUCCGGUCCGCCCGCUGGGUGUGUAUCUGGCUUGGCCUGGGCAUCUCCCUGGGGGCUGUCACGGUGCUUGACUGUGUGGUGUGGCACUCAGGGCUUUUACUUUGAAAAAUUAGAGUGUUCAAAGCAGGCAUUCGCUUGAAUAUCUCAGCAUGGAAUAAUAGAAUAGGACUUUGGUCUUAUUUUGUUGGUUUCCGAGACCGAAGUAAUGAUUAAUAGGGACAGUUGGGGGCAUUCGUAUUUCAUUGUCAGAGGUGAAAUUCUUGGAUUUAUGAAAGACGAACUUCUGCGAAAGCAUUUGCCAAGGAUGUUUUCAUUAAUCAAGAACGAAAGUUGGAGGCUCGAAGACGAUUAGAUACCGU
rnacentral:rRNA from 1 species